UGUUUGCAUGUAUUUAUGUAUGCAUGUAUGUGUCUAUUCAUGUUUGCAUGUAUAUGUGUAUGUAUGUAUGUAUGUAUAUACAGGGUGAGUCAAAACUGCCUGCCACAUCAUUAUUAUUAUUAUUGUUACUAUUAUUAUCAUCAUUAUUAGUAUUAUUGUUAUUAUUAUUAGUAUUACUAUCAUUAGUAGUAGUAGUAGUAGUAGCAGCAGCAGCAGCAGUGGUAGUAGUAGUAGUAGUAGUAGUAGUAGUAGUAGUAGUAGUAGUAGUAGUAGUUGCAGUAGUAUGAUUAUUAAAUCUACCCAUCUACGAUGGAAGUAUGAAAUGCGGGAGGACAGUCGUAACAACUGUGUGCAUUGAGAAAUGUGUAAAUAGACUUGAGAGAAUACUGGGGAUGUCUUAGAGAAAUCACAUUAUUGUUGGUGGUACAACGUUGGAUGGCAGCAGCAUGCCAUGAAAUUGCGACUAAUUGACAUGUGAUGAGGAUUCACUAUGGAACUCAGUCUGUGUGAGUGUCAACAUGCGUCCCUCCCUGUAGGAUUUCCAUCGGCACUUCUGAAAAAGUACAGCAGGCUGUUUCUUUUCUUCGAUCUUGUCUCCUACUUCGUGAUGUUUAAUAAGUUUGGUGAGAAACAAUUUCUUUAUCAUAAAAUUAUUCCCUUUGUUCUGUAUGGUUAUGAAAUGACGUGUAGGAACAGUUAGAAUACAAUGUUUCACCUUGUUCCAACAUACCAUGAUAUUCAACAUCCUGCGGUGCACCAUGUGUUACAUCGUUUUUAAUUAAGGUAAAACACCUCUAUAACACUGUUAUAUCUUUAUUCAUAUUCAAAGUAGCUGAAUGGCAAAGACCGAAAUGAAACUUCCUGCAUUUAUUUUAGUUCUCUUCUUUGGUUCCGUUCUCUCACAGGAUUGCGAUGAUCUCGCAGUUAGGAAUUGCGAAUGGAUAUUUAACCUUUAUACAGAGAGGAAAAACGAUUGCAACGCAUACAGGAAAUUUAUGAGAUGCUUUCGUGGAGAAAGUCUAUUCUGUUAUACAAUAUACGAAAGCAGUCGUAAUUGCAAGCCAAUUGACGGCACGAGUGACCCACAUGAGAUGAAACUUCAAUCACUGUUCCUUCCUGCUGCUGUGGUUAUAUCGGUCAUGCAUGAAUAAAUAAAUCGUAUUUUUGCAACAAUAAUGAAUUAAUUUUAUAAUUUUGUAAUUAUGACACAACGUAAUUUUUUUCUUCUUUUUUUGUUCUUCACUGAGAAAGUACAACUUACUAAAUAUUUCGAUUUGGAAAUUUAAAGAAAUGACAAAUAUUCCCUUCAAAUGUUUGAACAGGAUGACAAUGUUUUGCUAUAAUCCAACAUUCCAUUGCAUUUGAGACAGAUGACGCCCUGAGUUGCUAAAGCAGUAAUAUAGUUGUAGCAAAUAAUCUGCAACAUAACACAGAUUUGCUUAAACAUUUAUGCAUGUUCCUGAAGGUUACCAAUACGUACGUCUUGCAGUUGUAUAUUUAAGAAACGAGGAAUUAUGUAUAGUAUUAAUGUUAUUUACAUUUGACGGAUAUUUGUCCUCAUUUUGUUUGUUGUUAAUAGACAGAGAACGCCACUGAAAAAUACGAAAACUAAAAGAAGCAAGACAUAUGCUAGGACACAAUAACCUCCUAAGCGGACUGAGUGCAGAUAUGAAUAGCAUAUGGGAUUGGUAUUAAAGAAAAAUAGGAAAAUAUUAGAUUUGUAUAGGGAUGAAGUGUGAAAAUGAUCUGGAAAAAAUUGCAUGCGUAUUGUGUCAUACAUCGCACUAUAUCCUGACACACUUUCUUUCUAUUUUAUUUUCGCUAUUAACCGUCCUCGUUACUCACCACGUAUUUAUGAAGAGGCCACGCACUAUACGAUGAAAAACAUCUAGAUUUGCUCGUGGUCACUGAAUUCUUAAUCAAAAUGCGACGAUGAUUUAUUAAUUCAACAAUCAAACAUCCACAAAAUAUUCAUACUAAGAGACAGACAGACGGACAUAACGACCAUUGUUGUAAGAUGGGAAAUAUGCCCAUCUUCGAUGGGGAAUUAAGGGAUAAUAUUGCAAAUCUAAACACUCUAAAUUCAUUAAUUAUACAGGAGUGAAAUCCAGAGUUAUUCAUCGACACCGGAAUUUUAAGCAUAGAAAGCAAAGGUGAUUUAUCAAUACAAAACUCAAAAUCCACUAAAUAAUCACAUCAUUGCACAUGUUUCCGCUAAAAGCCUACCUGAUUAUCUCCUUGAUAAUAUUGAAAAACAACGUGACCAUUGGUUCAUCCAUUUGAUCAUGAAGAGAGAAGACAGAUGGACAGAUGGACAGAUAGACAGACGGAAAUAAUAUCCAUUAAUACACGUAGAAAAGAGUGUUACAUCCUGAUUAAUGAAGUGUGCGAGACAAAAUCAAGAUGAAAAUUUCUGCAUUUAUUUUUGUUCUCUAUUUUGGGGUAGCCUUCUCCGACCAUUGGAAGUGGUGUGAGGAAAUGGGAAGGUCUCGUUGUCCAGAUGGAUAUUUAGCUUCUAGAGGAAGUGACGUACGCUGUGAGGGUUUCUUCAAAUUUAUGAAAUGCUUUCAAUGGUAUGACAGAAAAUGUGUCGAGUACUUUGGAUACCACUCUCUGUGCUUGGACGCUAUAGACUCAAGUAACCAACUUAAGAUGUCCUUUCAAACAGUAUUGCCUGCUGCUAUUGUGGUUACAUUAUUAAAGGAGAACUAAAUAAAAGGAACGUUGCAUCCGGAUCUGUAAUUUUCAUUGAUGUUAUAACCUUAUAUGACCAAUCAUCUCAUGAUAAACGAACGAUUUAAAAAAAAAAACGAUAUUUGUGUGACACAGUUUUAAAUAUCAAAAUCUACAUAUUCAGAUUAUACUCUUGUUAUCUUUAUAUUGAAUUUCGGUCAGGAAUCAAUUAAUUUGUAUCAGUGAUAAUUUUAAUUUUGAGUGCAUGUCAUUUGGAUUGCCAUUCCGGUAUAAUUUUCACUGGACCCGCGUCAGGAAUUAUAAGUUGAGUUUGUAAUUGCUGAGAGAAUCGGAAAAUGGGUUUGGUGCAAAUCUUUAUUCAAUGACCCAUCCUCCAGCUGACAUUUACGGGCAGGAUAUUAUGCAUUUGUUUGUGUUGCGUCAAGCAGUGCAUUCUGUGUCACCGCAUGUGUUCAGUAAAAACGAUGUCCUACUAAAUAUUCUGAUUUCCUCUGGGCGUGUUAUAUUCUCCAGUUAUAUAUGGGUACACUGACGGAGAGUAGAAUAAUUUUGGGCUUUUCAACUACAAAUUGAUCUGGCUAUAUAUAAAACAUAAAAAUAAUAAAGGAUAGACAUUAAAACAUGUUAGAGGUAAUGAAUUGAAUGAUAAAUGGAAGGAUGAGCAUACAUUCGUUGAAAUGCACACAUAUAUAGACGUACAAACUCUCAAACACACACACAUCUAUGCUCCAUCGGAUUCUUAAGAACUGCAAUCUACUGUUAGCUGUAAUAGCGACAGCAUCAAUUUCUUCUAUCUUCUUCCUCUGUUAAAAUAUUUUAGAAAAAUUAUAUUAAUGUGUCCAACGUGUUAAAAUUCCAUUUAUCUAUUAAUGCACUGUAUUGAAAUUGAUGUAAUGAUUGCAUUGUUCAAUUAGAUAGUGCCACUUGAAACGGUCGUACUGCAUCACUACUUGAGAUCCUGUUGCUCAUUGUGACUUUGACUGUAUAUAUAUAUAUAUAUAUAUAUAUAUACAGAUAGAUAGAAAAAUAGAUAGAUAGAUAGAUAAUAGAAAGAGUGUGUGUGUGUGUGUGUGUGUGUGCGUAUGUGCAUUCAUGUGUUUCAUGUUGAUUUGCCAAAGUAUUUAGGACGCCUGUGUAAGUUCAAAGAUAGUUAUUUGUACGCCAGCCUUAGCAAAAUCUCAUGACCAUUGAAGUUUUGGAGACAGAAACAUGAUGAAAAUUUCUGCCUUUUGUUUUCUUCUCUUAUUUGGUAUGUUGUUGUUUGUUGAUUUUCUUAUUACUUAUUGUAUGGAAGUUUUGAAUAAAAUUGUUUGCAUACAAGUACAUCUAAA